AUGUGGCUAAGAGCUCUAUUGCCCCAAUUCGCUGCUCCGAUGUUGACCUCACCGCAGUUCUGGCAAACUUCUCGGCGGCUAUCACCCAGUUCCCUCUCAAGUAUUUGGUUGCCCUUGUCGCUUGGUAGACUCAGAAGGACCGACCUUCAGCCAUACAUUGAUAAAGCUGCGUCAAGGUUGAACCCUCUGAAAGGAAGAUUCCUAAAUCGGGCGGGGUGCUGCACUUAUGUGAAAUCUGUCCUUUCUUCCAUGCCGAUCUUCCUCCUGACUGCUAUCAAAGUGGAUAAAGGCUUCCUAAGGGCUAUGGCCAAGAUCUGUUGCGGUAUGCUAUGGGACUGCAAGGAAUCUGUCAGCGGUGGGAAAUGCAAGGUCAACUGGCAGAAGGUCUGCCGCCCUAAGGAGCUUGGUGGAUUGGGGAUCCUAGAUUUGGAAAGGUUCUCCCGCGCCCUUAGACUUCGCUGGCUUUGGGACGAAUGGAAGGCUCCUGAAAAACCUUGGGUAGGUUUUGAAACUCCUAACGAUGCCUCAGAUAGACAGCUCUUCAACGCCGCGACUCGUGUUACUAUCGGGGAUGGCAAGAAGGCCUCCUUUUGGUCUUCCUCAUGGCUUGACGGCAAGCCACCGAAAGAUAUGGCACCUCUGAUCUUCAAAGCUUCGAGGAGGAAAAACCGAACGGUCCAUGAUGCCCUUACUGACCAUACCUGGGUAGCGGAUAUUGCGGUGGAGGCCUUCACGGCAGAGCACAUUGGCCAGUUCGUCCAGCUAUGGGAUCUCAUCUCAGAUAUCCAGCUCUCCCCAGAUAUAGAAGAUUCCAUCAUCUGGACCCUCUCCCCAAAUGGAUGCUACUCUGCGAGCUCCGCCUAUAAGGCGCAGUUCAUGACCGCGCUGCCUUGCUCCUUCGGCUCGAUUGUCUGGAAAACGUGGGCGCCUCCCAAAUGCCGCUUCUUCGCUUGGCUCGCCGUCCAAAAUCGCCUCUGGACCGCGGAUCGCCUGGCCAAACGUGGAUGGCCACACCAGCCCUCCUGCCAGCUAUGCCGGUGCUCCCCUGAGACGGCGAGACACAUGCUCUUUGAAUGCCGUUACUCCAAGAGGAUCUGGUCCGCGGCGGCAUCCUGGCUCUCCUGCCCAGAAUUACUGCUUAGCAUGGGCUCUGGUCGCCCCAAGGUGGUGGACUACUGGCAGGCCUUAGCUAGGUCGCCCUCUUCCUCUCCCAAAGGUCUAAAAACGGCUAUCAUGCUCAUCACCUGGGAAAUCUGGAAGGAAAGAAAUGAGAGAGUCUUCAACAAGAAAUCCUCUCUGCCGGUGGUGGUCAUGCACAAGAUAAGAGAGGUAGCAAAAGAUUGGAUUCUAGCGGGAGCAAAAAACCUGGCGGAUCUUGUGGGCUGA
rnacentral:rRNA from 1 species